rnacentral:rRNA from 1 species
AGCUAACGCGUUAAGUCNGACCGCCUGGGGAGUACGGCCGCAAGGUUAAAACUCAAAUGAAUUGACGGGGGCCCGCACAAGCGGNGGAGCAUGUGGUUUAAUUCGAUGCAACGCGAAGAACCUUACCUACUCUUGACAUCCAGAGAACUUAGCAGAGAUGCUUUGGUGCCUUCGGGAACUCUGAGACAGGUGCUGCAUGGNUGUCGUCAGCUCGUGUUGUGAAAUGUUGGGUUAAGUCCCGCAACGAGCGCAACCCUUAUCCUUUGUUGCCAGCGGUCCGGCCGGGAACUCAAAGGAGACUGCCAGUGAUAAACUGGAGGAAGGUGGGGAUGACGUCAAGUCAUCAUGGCCCUUACGAGUAGGGCUACACACGUGCUACAAUGGCGCAUACAAAGAGNNGCGACCUCGCGAGAGCAAGCGGACCUCAUAAAGUGCGUCGUAGUCCGGAUUGGAGUCUGCAACUCGACUCCAUGAAGUCGGAAUCGCUAGUAAUCGUAGAUCAGAAUGCUACGGUGAAUACGUUCCCGGGCCUUGUACACACCGCCCGUCACACCAUGGGAGUGGGUUGCAAAAGAAGUAGGUAGCUUAACCUUCGGGAGGGCGCUUACCACUUUGUGAUUCAUGACUGGGGUGAAGUC